GAAUUCACUAGUGAUUUGAGAAAAGCGGACGGGUGAGUAAUGCCUAGGAAUCUGCCUGGUAGUGGGGGAUAACGUUCGGAAACGGACGCUAAUACCGCAUACGUCCUACGGGAGAAAGCAGGGGACCUUCGGGCCUUGCGCUAUCAGAUGAGCCUAGGUCGGAUUAGCUAGUUGGUGAGGUAAUGGCUCACCAAGGCGACGAUCCGUAACUGGUCUGAGAGGAUGAUCAGUCACACUGGAACUGAGACACGGUCCAGACUCCUACGGGAGGCAGCAGUGGGGAAUAUUGGACAAUGGGCGAAAGCCUGA
rnacentral:rRNA from 1 species